AGCCACUUCAUGUUGAAAAAAACGGCUCCCAUAUGAUCACCAAAGUUAAGCAACUUCAAACCUGUCGGUACCUUGAUGGGUGACUGCUUGGAAAUACCGGGUGUUGUCAG